rnacentral:rRNA from 1 species
ACGGGUGAGUAACACGUAGGAAUCUGCCCGAUAGUGGGGGACAACGUCUCGAAAGGGACGCUAAUACCGCAUACGCCCUAAGGGGGAAAGCAGGGGAUCUCGGACCUUGCGCUAUCGGAUGAGCCUGCGUCGGAUUAGCUAGUUGGGGGGGUAAAGGCCCACCAAGGCGACGAUCCGUAGCUGGUCUGAGAGGAUGAUCAGCCACACCGGAACUGAGACACGGUCCGGACUCCUACGGGAGGCAGCAGUGGGGAAUAUUGGACAAUGGGGGCAACCCUGAUCCAGCCAUGCCGCGUGUGUGAAGAAGGCCUUCGGGUUGUAAAGCACUUUAAGAGGGGAGGAAGGUUCGCUGGCUAAUAUCCAGCGGAAUUGACGUUACCCUCAGAAUAAGCACCGGCUAACUCCGUGCCAGCAGCCGCGGUAAUACGGAGGGUGCAAGCGUUAAUCGGAAUUACUGGGCGUAAAGCGCGCGUAGGCGGCUUGGUCAGUCGGAUGUGAAAUCCCUGGGCUCAACCUGGGAACUGCAUUCGAUACUGCCUGGCUAGAGUGUGGGAGAGGGUGGUGGAAUUCCCGGUGUAGCGGUGAAAUGCGUA